ensembl:lncRNA
CCUUUACUUGAAGACUUUGAGGAUAUUCCUUAAGGGUGAGGAGAUUUACACCCAGGGUCUAGCAACUGAGGUAGCCAAGUGAUAUUCAGGGGAUCAGCCUGCAUUUUUGCUUCCCAAGAGCUGUUGUGUGUACCAAAUAUUUAUAAAUAAUGCCAGCUAUGGUGAUCCCCCAUCCUGCUGAGGGCCAGCUGCUCCUCCAAGUCUUCAUACAGGAGACUGGGGUUCAGACACCUGAUGUGGUCUGCCUAAGGCCAUUCAUUAGUACGGAGACCCCAGAGACUGGCCGGGUUUGGAAGGUGUGUGGGGAGAAUGGUACUUUCCAGGUUUCCUCAAUAUCUGGAGACCGCAGGAAACCCAAGAGAUGGGAGGCAUUAAGCUUGCAUUAAGAAAGAUGCUUCCUACAGUUGGAACUUUCCUUAAGCAGUGACUUCCCCCUCCAACAAGAUUGCUGGCCAGCGUCUGGCUGGUCAGUGUGAGGGGUGCACAACGAGUAGAAUUAACUGAAGGCUGGACUUUCAGAGCCCCUGAAUCUGAAAGUGACUGGUCUCUGUCAGCUGUGAGCUCUGUGAGACCAGGCACCAGUCUGCUUUGCUCAUCACCUGUCUCCAACACCUGGCAAAAGAAUAGCUGCACCAGGUGUACCUGCUACAUUCAUUAACUGGCAAAGCCUCGAGGCAAUGAGGCCCAGGAGAGACGAUUUUGAGAGAUGAAUGGCUAACCUGCCCCUGCUGACAGCCUCGCCCUGGUGGAGAGCAGCUCUGGAUCAAGAGGGGCUGAAGGAGGAGCCAGCUCAAUCAAGAAACCAACAGACAGUAGUUUCUAUGUUCCAGAAGCCCUUCCCUGGGGUCUUCUCCGAUGUGCACUGUUCGCUGCUACAGAUUGUCCUUGCGGCUCUGAGGCCCCUCCUUGAGUCUCCAGGCCCCAGUGCAAUGUCAGGAAGAAAAGCUGAGCCCCUCUGUCCUGAUGUCCAAUCCUGGCUCCUCUCAUACAUGUCCUGGGUGUCCCCUAUGAUGUCCUUGACCCUGGGGCAGAUGGUCUCUACACAACUAUGCAGUAAACCUCUGAGU